rnacentral:rRNA from 1 species
UGCCAGCAGCCGCGGUAAUACGUAGGACGCAAGCGUUAUCCGGAAUUACUGGGCGUAAAGAGCGCGUAGGCGGGUCUACAAGUCAGCCGUGAAAGCUCCUGGCUAAACUGGGAGAGGUCGGUUGAAACUGUAGGUCUUGAGUAUGUCAGAGGCGUGUAGAAUUCCGCGUGUAGUGGUGAAAUGCGUAGAUAUGCGGAGGAAUACCAGUGGCGAAGGCGGCACGCUGGGGCACUACUGACGCUGAGGCGCGAAAGCAUGGGUAGCGAACGGGAUUAGAUA